UGCCAGCAGCCGCGGUAAGACGGAGGGUGCAAGCGUUGCUCGGAAUCACUGGGCGUAAAGCGUACGCAGGCUGGUGGUCAAGUCGGAUGUGAAAGCCCGGGGCUCAACCCCGGAACUGCAUUCGAAACUGGUCACCUUGAGUACGGGAGAGGGAAGCGGAAUUCCUGGUGUAGAGGUGAAAUUCGUAGAUAUCAGGAGGAACACCGGUGGCGAAAGCGGCUUCCUGGCCCGAUACUGACGCUCAUGUACGAAAGCGUGGGGAGCAAACAGGAUUAGAUA
rnacentral:rRNA from 1 species